CUGUUGCUUCUCCUUUCUCCAUGUGACAUGCCUGCUCCUGUUUUUCCUUCUGCUAUGAGUGAAAGCUCCCUGGGGCCUUCCCAGAAGGUGAGCGUUGCAGGUGCCAUGCUUAUACAGCCUGCAGAACUGUGAGCCAACUGAACCUCUUUUCCUUAUAAAUCACCCACU